rnacentral:rRNA from 1 species
UACAGAGGGUGCGAGCGUUGUCCGGAAUCACUGGGCGUAAAGGGCGCGUAGGUGGUGGCUUAAGCGUGCGGUGAAAGCUCGGAGCUCAACUCCGAGUCGGCCGUGCGAACUGGGCUCACUGGAGCAUAGUAGAGGCAGGUGGAAUUCCGGGUGUAGCGGUGGAAUGCGUAGAGAUCCGGAAGAACACCGGUGGCGAAGGCG